CGUGAGUGAAGAAGGCCUUCGGGUUGUAAAGCUCUGUCAGAUGGGAAGAAGUGCUAUAUGGUUAAUACCCAUAUGGUUUGACGGUACCAUCAGAGGAAGCACCGGCUAAAUCCGUGCCAGCAGCCGCGGUAAUACGGAUGGUGCGAGCGUUGUUCGGAAUUACUGGGCGUAAAGGGCGCGUAGGCGGCGUGAUAAGUCAGAUGUGAAAGCCCACGGCUUAACCGUGGAAGUGCACCUGAAACUGUCAUGCUUGAGUAUCGGAGAGGGAAGUGGAAUUCCCGGUGUAGAGGUGAAAUUCGUAGAUAUCGGGAGGAAUACCGGUGGCGAAGGCGACUUUCUGGACGAAUACUGACGCUGAGGCGCGAAAGCGUGGGGAGCAAACAGGAUUAGAUACCCUGGUAGUCCACAGCUGUAAACGAUGAGAACUAGGUAUAGGGGGUGUUGACCCCUUCUGUGCCGUAGCUAACG
rnacentral:rRNA from 1 species